rnacentral:rRNA from 1 species
GAUGAACGCUGGCGGCGUGCCUAAUACAUGCAAGUCGAGCGAACAGACGAGGCGCUUGCUCCUCUGACGUUAGCGGCGGACGGGUGAGUCACACGUGGAUAACCUACCUAUAAGACUGGUAUAACUUCGGGAAACCGGCGCUAAUACCGGAUAAUCUAUUGAACCGCAUGGUUCAAUAGUGAAAGACGGUUUUGCUGUCACUUAUAGAUGGAUCCGCGCCGCAUUAGCUAGUUGGUACGGUCACGGCUUAGCAAGGCAACGAUGCGUAGCCGACCUGAGAGGGUGAUAGGCGACACUGGAACUGGGACACGGACCAGGCUCCUACGGGAGGCAGCAGUAGGGAAUCGUCCGCAAUGGGCGAGAGCCUGACGGAGCAACGCCGCGUGAGUGAUGAAGGUCUUCGGAGCGUAAAACUCUGUUAUGAGGGAAGAACAAAUGUGUAAGUAACUAUGCACGGAGUGACGGUACCUAAUCAGAAAGCCACGGCUAACUACGUG